rnacentral:rRNA from 1 species
UACGUAGGGUGCGAGCGUUGUCCGGAAUUAUUGGGCGUAAAGAGCUCGUAGGCGGUGUGUCGCGUCGGCCGUGAAAACCUGCAGCUUAACUGUGGGCUUGCGGUCGAUACGGGCAUCACUGGAGUUCGGCAGGGGAGACUGGAAUUCCUGGUGUAGCGGUGAAAUGCGCAGAUAUCAGGAGGAACACCGAUGGCGAAGGCAGGUCUCUGGGCCACUACUGACGCUGAGAAGCGGAAAGCAUGGGGGAGCGAACAGG